UCGAGCGGUAGAGAGGUGCUUGCACCUCUUGAGAGCGGCGGACGGGUGAGUAAUGCCUAGGAAUCUGCCUGGUAGUGGGGGAUAACGCUCGGAAACGGACGCUAAUACCGCAUACGUCCUACGGGAGAAAGCAGGGGACCUUCGGGCCUUGCGCUAUCAGAUGAGCCUAGGUCGGAUUAGCUAGUUGGUGGGGUAAUGGCUCACCAAGGCGACGAUCCGUAACUGGUCUGAGAGGAUGAUCAGUCACACUGGAACUGAGACACGGUCCAGACUCCUACGGGAGGCAGCAGUGGGGAAUAUUGGACAAUGGGCGAAAGCCUGAUCCAGCCAUGCCGCGUGUGUGAAGAAGGUCUUCGGAUUGUAAAGCACUUUAAGUUGGGAGGAAGGGCAUUAACCUAAUACGUUGGUGUCUUGACGUUACCGACAGAAUAAGCACCGGCUAACUCUGUGCCAGCAGCCGCGGUAAUACAGAGGGUGCAAGCGUUAAUCGGAAUUACUGGGCGUAAAGCGCGCGUAGGUGGUUCGUUAAGUUGGAUGUGAAAUCCCCGGGCUCAACCUGGGAACUGCAUUCAAAACUGUCGAGCUAGAGUAUGGUAGAGGG
rnacentral:rRNA from 1 species